UCAAUUCAACUCAACUCAGAGAGCAAACCAAAGCAUAUCCACAUCCACCGAGCGGACCGAAAGAACAACUCGAUCAGUCACAGACAGAGUCUCGAAUCUUGCGUUCGAUUUGAUCGGAGAAGAUGGCGAGCAAGGGAGGCAACAAGGGGGAGGGCCCUGCAAUCGGCAUCGACCUCGGCACCACAUACUCCUGCGUCGGCGUCUGGCAGCAUGACCGGGUGGAGAUCGUCGCCAACGACCAGGGCAACCGCACCACGCCGUCCUACGUCGCCUUCACCGACACCGAGCGGCUCAUCGGCGACGCCGCCAAGAACCAGGUCGCCAUGAACCCCACCAACACCGUUUUUGGUAAGCCCCGCGUGCCUCGGUCUCUUAUCUUACAAGUAGUAGAAUACAUGCUCGUGCAGUGAGAGUACGUGCUCUGCCUUUUGCUCUGUUUUACGCUCCUGAGCAGUCACUUACCACUCUGCUCUGCCACGCAGAUGCCAAGCGACUCAUCGGACGGCGCUUCUCGGACGCAUCCGUGCAGUCGGAUAUGAAGAUGUGGCCGUUCAAGGUGGUCCCCGGCGCCGGCGACAAGCCGAUGAUCGUGGUCACCUACAAGGGGGAGGAGAAGACCUUCUCUGCCGAGGAGAUAUCCUCCAUGGUGCUCACCAAGAUGAGGGAGAUCGCCGAGGCCUUCCUCAGCACAACCAUCAACAACGCCGUCGUCACUGUCCCGGCCUACUUCAACGACUCCCAGCGCCAGGCCACCAAGGACGCCGGCGUCAUCGCCGGCCUCAACGUCAUGCGCAUCAUCAACGAGCCGACCGCGGCGGCCAUCGCUUACGGCCUCGACAAAAAGGCCACCAGCACCGGGGAGAAGAACGUGCUCAUCU
rnacentral:lncRNA from 1 species